UGCUCACCACCCCUUUUCUACAGUAUGGGAAGUGGGGGAGGAUUGGUUAAUGCAGGCUGAUAAGUGUUCCCUGAAAUUCUAAAUAUUAUUAAUGGUAUCAUUAUGGGUGGUCAUGCUUUCGUACUACUCAUGAAGCCAGGCGUAAAGCUGAAGCUCAGAUAAAGAGACACCUGGCAUUUGUAUUCUUUAAUAUUUACAAUAGUCUAAUGAUUACCACUGCAGACUCUUGCAAAGUGUUCACCUGCCCUGAGGGAUGGAAUGACUUGGCAGGACAUCUGCAUUACAAUUCGAAUAUUAUUCCUGCUGGGAGAGGACUUGAGAGAAUAUUUCUACUUUUCAAAAGUUCCUGCUGUGCCUUGGCAUUUACAGCCCAUCUGGAGAAAUACCUUCAGCACUUUUCUUCUCUACCCAUCAGACUCUGGCCCAGCAGUGUGAUGAGUGCAUUACUUCAUCAUCACGCUAAGCAUCACUUGGUGUCUACACUGAGAACAAUUUUGGGCCAGGAAGUGGAAAAGGCAGAGCAGAUCUGAAAGUACAACACAAACAUUUGUCAUGCCUGUGAAUUAGAAUCAAAAAGACUACAGGCCUAGAAAAGCAGUGUUCUGAAGGAUCUGAACUCAGUCGUCCGAAGCGCUGUGCUUCCUCAACUUCCACAGAUUUGAUCUGUGAAGGACCUCGAGGCAUUGUGGUGUUCCGUCUUAUAAAGGGAAAGCCAAGGAUAAGGAGUACCUUGGUGCGUGACUUUUGUGCUGUGAUUCUUGCCAUAUUCAGCUCUAGAAACCUGAGCACCACAAAUGAUAUUGCUAUUCUCAGCAGGAACCUUCAGGGAGAUGAACAGCAUGUAUUUGGACAUCUGAGAUUUGGUUGCUGACAGCAGCAUGAAGUUUCAUUUGAUUUGCUGAGGGUGGAAGAGUGUCUGACUUUGCAAGCCAGCUGAACCUCGGUCCUGUUUGAAGUCGAUGGCCGGAUUCUUACGGACUGCACCGACACCAGGUUUCCACCUGCAGGCUUUCUGGACGUGGCACAGCAAUUCUCAAGCACUGAUGCUAGUGGCAGCUCAUGAUGGAUCAUGAAGAAUUACUUUCAGCUUUUGGAUUCGCAGUGCUAAUAACAUCUGUGCCAUCUCAGAGCCACAACAGCACAAAAUGGAGUUCAGACAGCACCUUGGCUCCCCGGCGCUCCCAAAAUUGCAGAGCAGCUUAAGUACAUAAUUGCACAGCUUUUGACAGUAGAAGACCAACUGCUUUUCUUCAGUGCACAUUAACAUUAAUCAGUUGUCUAGGUUGGGAUCAGUCUAUAGAAGUGAAAUUACAGGGACAUUAGGAAGGUAAAUCAUGUUUAUUACACGAGUGCCUAAGGCUGAGAAAGUAUGAGGUUCCCCUCCACAAGACACUGUACUCCCUGCUCCAAAAAUGCUCAGAGCUGGAGGAAAGCAGCUUCAUGUAUAUGUGAAAGUGAAGUUUGCAAUUUGAUAGCAAGCAUGUAGGUUAUGUAGUGUUUUGGUGAUGUAAGACUGGUUAUGAGAAUAAAAAUGAAAAGAAAAAAGGAAGGAGAAGAUUGUUGGAGUAAGAGUAACAGGAGUGGAAUGAAGCUGAUGUAAAGAGGUUUUGAGUGCAGGGGCUGAAACAAACCAGUGAGUGUGAGUGAAAGUUGAGUCAGAACUGCAGAAUGGCUCUAGGGGUGGUUGUCACUCCUGCCUCGGCAGCUGCUCUGAUGGCUUGCUUUUUCCCCAUCUGAGACCUGGCUCCUCCAGAAAUGGGGACUGCUGUCAUUUUAGAUGUAAGCCAGAACACCUAGUGUUUAUUUUUUCUCCUUCUGAACUUCCUUUUUAAGCAGCCUUAAGGAGCGAAACACACAGUGUACAUGGAAGGACGUUUGCAGUAAUGUGUUGAAAAUACUGGCCAAGAUCUUCACAUUUAGGAACUAAAGCCAAGUAUACACAAGUUAAAUUAGAGAAACUCUAAUGCUGGUUUUAAAUUAAAUCUGGCUGCUCACAGCCUCAUUGAACACGUGACACAAAAAUAGAGAUGUUUUGAUGUCUCCUUGUGUCUUCACUACAGCAGCUCUAGGCCACCCCAGGAUUUGUCCUCCACUGGGGGAGUUCUCCUGUAACACACUGAGCUGUCUGUUUGUUUCUUCCAUCUGCUCGUAUCUGCUAGAGCAGGGAUUACAAUUUGUCUUGAGGAAUCCCCACUUCCUUUUUAUAGCUUUGCACUGAUUCACCAUGGGACGGGGUUCAGGUAUGAGGAAUGUUACAGGCUGUGAACUAUAUCCUGCUCAGCUGUACACCUACAGCCUCCACUCAUUGGUAAGAAAAAGAGACAUGCCUCCAAGGGGAUAAUUUGGUCCUGUUCCAGUUAUUAGACCUGCAUAGCUUGAUAUUGCUCAGAAAUAGUUUUCUAUAUUUUGGAAGCCUGUUAUUAUCAUUAGGAUACUCUGUUACUCUUAGUAGGAACAGGCAGGCUUUGAUGAAGAAUAAUUCUCCUCUCCAUAUCCUCAAGCCUACUGCUCCCUUUCAGUUACGCCCAGACCUGACACCUGGGACAAAAGAGUCCAUCUCCUUUCUUUGUAUGGACAGGUAAUUUGUAUCUGCAUUCUGUCCGAGAUGCUGAAUAAACCAAAAAGUGUGGGGUUUUUAAACCUAUUUCUUUGAUCCAAGCAAUUCCUGUCCCCCAAAAGAAAAUCAACCAAUGUCCAAUCCUGCAAAGAAAACAGUAAAGAACAAAAUAUUAUUUUAAUACAUUUUUUAAAAAGGUAUACCUGCUUAGAAGCUUUAGGUAUAGCUGAUCCAGCUGGAGGUAGGAGAAUACAGUGGUUGAGCCCAUCUCAGUGUCCCUUCCAGUUAUGUUUUCUAUGAUAGUAUGAUUCGGAAGAGGAUAAUUAUCAGCAAUAUCCAGUGUGAACGCGGGAGCAGAGUUGGAGUGCUGCCUGAUUACAAGGUAUUUGUCUAACGCUCCUUGUCACUGUAUGAGAAUGCUUUAAUUAGCACUGAAAACAUUCAGUUACAUAGACCAUCUCUGGCAAAAAUAGAUUGUGAGCCUGGUGUUUUAACACUGCAUUAAAUGCCAAGUAUUUAGACCUGCCUGGGCACACAAUAUCAUCACCUGAAAACACUAAAACCUAUAAAUCCUUGACUGUCAUUUGCAACAGAAAUACCAAGAAUCGUUAAGAUUGUUAAUGUAUCAACAUGGAUUUUGUUGUCGAAAUGACUGAAAGUAUCAAACAGGCAACAGAUUUCAAGGCAAGGUAAACAUUUUCAUGUCAGUAAGGAUGAACGAUCUCAAAGUGUGUUUUAUCUUCUAAAAAAUAGAUAAUCAGCUUAUAAUCAUGAAAAGAACAAAUGAUCCUGAUCUAUUUCUACAAAGGCAGAUCCCGUUCUGGCAUCUGAACAGCUGAGUAGGAGCACAUAACGUGAGGAUUCCCUAGCUGCUGCUCUGAGAUUGGACAGACCCAGACCACAACAUCGGAUCGAGAUGUGCCCAAAUGUUUGGAACUGGGCUGGAAAUAGCCUCAGCAAAUGAUCUGUAGCCUUACAGUGAGCUAGAAUGAGAGUCCUGUGGACGGCAAAAUGCAUGUCUGAAUUUUGCAGCUUGAUCCAUUUUCUAAAAUCAGAGAAAAAUCUGAAGAGAAAUCCAAUCUUCUCCUUCUUAAGGGGGCUUUGUAGACACUUCUUAAGUUCAUGGAUCAAAUUCAGAAUGAGAAAGGAACCUGUUUUCUGAAUCCGAUAUUGACGUAACUCAGGGUAGUGGAAAUAUAGCUGGACAAGAAGUUCUCAUGAAAUUUCUAUAAUCUCAGUUUUGAGGAAUCUCUCAGAGCAGUUUGGGAAUUUGGAUGGUGCUCCAGAGCCAAGUCCAGGAAGGACAGCCUCCAUUCCAAAACCUGAGUGACAAACUAAGCACAGUCAGGUUCUGAAUUUGAUCAUGGAUGGAUCGGGAGCACUGGUGGUGAUGUGGAGGGGAAGUACUGCACCCGAGCCGCUCACCAGGUCAUUUGAAGCACUUAAUGCACAAGGUGAGUGAGACCACAGGGCUUUCUAUGUCCUCCCCCCAAGCAGAUUCGGAGCACACGUGAGUAUGAGAUAUUUAAUACAUAAUUUGAGGCCUGAUUCAGUGUGGAUCCUAAAGUGGUGCAAUUUCAGUGAAACUACCCCUCCUGACAUGACAGCCAAAGUUAAUUUAAUUCACUUGUGUGUUUUUGAAAAGACUGUGGAAAUUAAGAACCCCUCAGAGCAGUCUCUGGUGAUGAUGGAUGUCCUUACAGCCCCUACCGCAGAGUGAGUGUUGUGGUGUGAAUGUACAGACCCCUUUGCAACAGAGAUUCACCAUCUGUCCCGUGAACAGAUGUUCAUCUUCAGUGUCAGUGCUGCUCCAGCCACAGCCUCGCUGACCAGUGUCAUGUUCGGUGUUGAUUUUUAAAUACAGAUCUUUUCAUCGCCAGCUUUUUCAUGUAAGCUGUGGCCAGAGAGUAAGAGGCAAAGGCUAGCUUCACAU